CUCACUGGAUGGAGGCGUUGCAUUCUCUUUGAGUGUGUGGACUGGAGGACGGAGAACUGCCUGGCAAGGUUAGAAACCUGGGCCACCAGACUCGUCAGAACAAGGAAGGACAGGCAUACCAGGCCAGAAGGAAGAGCAGGUGCCCAGUGUCCCCGAGAGGUAGAGUAGUAGGAAGGCAGGGAUCCGUGAUCUUGACCUACCUUCCCGUGGGUGACCAGCAGUUCCUGGAUGGGCUCACCCUGGCUGACAGUGGCGUCAAGGAUGGCUUGCAUGUUCAGCUUCUCCAGGUUCUCAUGCUGCUUAUUCCACCUGCCCCGAAGGGAUGUGUGUAUAUCGGGUGUUCAAAUGUACAACGGGAGUGAGGGUGGGGGCUGGAUCUACUGGUCUAUGUGAUCCAGUCCUGAGGCCAGAGGGGCGUCGGAAGCCAUACACUUCUAUCUCAAAGAGCUUGCCUCCCACCUGGAGGUCCCUCCACAUUGGGCAACCCCUUCUCCAAUGUCAGUUCCAAGGUCCUCCACUAAAGGACCAGGAGACCCCACCUGUUGCCGCUGCCUCACCCUUCAGAUCCCAUCUCCCGUAGCUGGAAGCUGUGCAGGCCCCGCACCAGCACAUCAGCCUCCCCAGGCAGCAGCAGCUCCAGGUCGCCCAUGCCGUGGGCCAGGAUUCGUUUGGCUUUGGGCAGCAGUCGGAAUGGGGAAACUGAUGGACUCCAGUGGCCGGACCAAAGUCUGGGACAGAACAGUUGCUAAGCCGUUGGGGCGCGUGGGUACUCGUCGCCAUGGGAACCAGUGAGCUUGGCGCCUGCGUAGAGUCGUUCUGAUGCCCCGCUUGCCACGCCCACCUCACUGCCAAUUAGCAGCCCGAGACUCGAGACACACUCGCCACACCCCUCCAGGCCAGGAGCAGCUAUGGAGUGACUGGGAUCCUUACCACCUCCUGCUGCUGCAGUGUCUUAGCCUCAAAUGGGGGCGUACCUGCACCCUGGACUCUCCCCAGCCACCGAGUCAUUUUUUUGGAGACAGGCUCUUACUAUGUGACUCAGACUGGCCUGGAACUCCCUGUCUAUCAAACUGGCCUCCAAGUCAUAGAGAUCCACGGGCCUCUGCUCUGUCUCUUUAGUGCUGAAAUUAAAGGCUUGUGUCCCCGUGUUCAGCCCGGCAGCCAGGAGUCCUAAAGAUGUACACCUAACAUUCUUCCCUUGAGGAUGGCCCCGCACCUCUGGCACCCCAAAUACUAGACCACAGUUCUCACCAGCUGCUCUGAAGGACCUCUCUCUCCCCUUCUCUUACUUCUGUGCUUCAAUUUUUGUCCCACCCCCUCCUCUUUUAUUUCUAAAUUAUGUUUGUGUCUGUGCACGUGUGUACAGGUGCCCAGUGAGGCCCCUCCCCUGAGGACCUCUCACUGCCAGGUGCCACCCACAGAAUACUCUGAACUGCUGGACCCUGCCCCCACCCUACAGAGUAAAAAGCCCACUCUCUGGACAUGAAAUCCCACCAAUCUCCACCCUGGAAAGCUCCGCCCUGAAGAGUUCCACCCCCUUUCCAAGAUGCUCUAAAUAAGCCCUGUAUCCUGUUCGGUUUACUGCCCUUUCUUGCUCCAGCAGAGGCAGCCACCCCUGUUUUCCCUCCCAAUAAAUCUCUUGUGUGUUGUG